CCGCAUUAAUUUUUAAGUUGUUGUUUUGAAUUCUAUUAAAAAAAUUCAAAACAUGUAAAAUUAAAAAAAUAGUGUAGCAAUAAGUUUUGUAUUGCUAUAGCAUCUGUGUAUCGCACAAUGAAGUUAGAGUGAUUUUCAGCAAUAAGAAAUUUGACAACAAAUGCAAGCAUUAGGAGAAACUUUUUUUGGAAAUUGCUGUUUAUAAAAAAAGAUAUGAAUUCAUUAUAAACAGAGCAGCAAACUUAUGGAACACAUUGGGAACACAGCAAAAUUACGGAGUGCAUUGGAAGUUGUCAAGUCAACAAAUGUAAACAGUUUUGAGAAAAAAUUAGGCAAAUUUUUAUU